GUGGGGAAUCUUGCGCAAUGGGCGAAAGCCUGACGCAGCCAUGCCGCGUGAAUGAUGAAGGUCUUGGGAUUGUAAAAUUCUUUCACCGGGGACGAUAAUGACGGUACCCGGAGAAGAAGCCCCGGCUAACUUCGUGCCAGCAGCCGCGGUAAUACGAAGGGGGCUAGCGUUGCUCGGAAUUACUGGGCGUAAAGGGCGCGUAGGCGGACAGUUUAGUCAGAGGUGAAAGCCCAGGGCUCAACCUUGGAAUUGCCUUUGAUACUGGCUGUCUUGAGUACGGGAGAGGUGAGUGGAACUCCGAGUGUAGAGGUGAAAUUCGUAGAUAUUCGGAAGAACACCAGUGGCGAAGGCGACUCACUGGCCCGUUACUGACGCUGAGGCGCGAAAGCGUGGGGAGCAAACAGGAUUAGAUACCCUUGUAGUCC
rnacentral:rRNA from 1 species